CUGGACUCAUACAGGAUUGUUGUAGGUCUCUAAUGUAUGUAAGAAGGUGGUUUAUAAACUGGAAGGUGGUGUUAUUUUUAUCUCUGAAGCAAAUUGAGGGCAGCCACUUAGAGCUCCACAUCUUAAAUAUCCUCAUAGCAAUUAUAGGAGGCAGAAUAGGAAUCUUUCUGCAGCUGCCACCAAAAUAGAAUGAACAUUUCCAUUUCUGUGCCACUCUCCCUCUGUAACUCCUAAAGCUUCAUAUUUGCUUCUCUUUACUGACAAUGUUUCAAUCAGUCAACCAAAAAAAAAAAAAACCAACCUGAAACAAAUAAUUAAUCCAUAGUCACUUAGUACCUACAAUGUUCAGAACAUGGAGGUGAAAUGUUCCUGAUUUUUAUACAUUUAAUUCCAUCGAUUAACAUCAACUUUGAUGUCCACUCCCCCCAUUAUGAAGAAAAAGAUGAAAGACAUACAAAAAUUAAAAUUGGCUAUAGUCUCACUUCAGCGAUGAUCACGAGUGAAUACUUUUCAAACCCUUUGUUUUCUAUACAUAUGUAAGUUUUUGGACCACAGUCAGUGCAUUGCUUUGUAAAUAUGCUUCUCUUCAUUCAAAAUAUCAUGGACAUUUUUUCCAAGUCAAUAGUGACAGAAUGACUUUAUCAUUUUUAGUGGCAUGAGAAUAACACUGUUUGGGUAUGUGAUUAUUUACUCAACCAAUUCUCUAUUGACAAACAUUUAGGUUGUUUAAUAUUUUAAAAAAUAUUAUACAUAACACUGAAACAUUACAUUUUUGUUCAUGUACAGAUUUUGGCAUAUUUGCUUGAUUAUCCUCUUGGGAGAAAAUUCUAACAUUUGCAUUCCUACAUCGAAAUAUAUGCAUGUUUUUAAGGUGUUUUUUUUUUCAUUCAGAGUGCCUAAUUAACUCCAGAAACAUUUUUUUUUUACCUUUUAUUCUCCAAUAAGUCCAAGUAUUUACAUUUCUUUUAAAAAAAUCCUCUGUUUAUGAAAAAAAAAAAUGGAAAGGCAAUUAGUGCCCUGAGCAGUGCUAUUUGUUCUGGUUUUUAUGUUUUAGAAUAUGUCCCAGGAUGUCCUUGUUUCCUUAAUAAUUUUCCUCACUGCCUCUCAGAGUCUGUUCCUCCUUCAGGACCUGAGUCCUCAUGCUGUCCCUUGCUGCUCAGGGGCGUCCACAAAACCUGUGCAUCCAGACCCAUUCAUACUAAAAAAAGUACUCUCUGGCUCUUAUUCUUGUCUACUGUUUUCUUCUCCGAGGUCAGUAAUCCCAUAGUAAAGGUUUAGUCAUCUAAUAUUUUGAAGGGGAAUUUUUAAAUUUAGGUAAUUCACUAUAACUCUGAGUGCCAGAUAAAGGAUUAAUUUGAGAGUUUAGAUAAGGCUUGGCUUAAGGAUUAACUUAAGAGUUAGCUUAAAGGUAAAGGGCCAUUCAAUAGAGAAUCUUUUUGGUAAAGGUUAUGUACUCUCAGUUUUGGAUACCAAGCACUAGCUAUACAACCAGGCUUCGCUUUUAUGUAUUUUGAAAUUUGUAUUUGUAUGAUUAAUUGUUUUCUAAACUGCUUUAAAAAAAUUCCUAACAGUAUCUUGGAUACUUAAUCUGUUUUAUUGGCUAUGACAGCCCUAAUCAAUAUAUACUACAUUGAUCACUUGAAGAAAUUUUCGCGACACUGAGGUUAUGGUCAGGAUGACCAUUGCUGUUAAUAAAUACUGUGUUCUUAUUUCAUAUGUGACAGGCU
rnacentral:lncRNA from 1 species